rnacentral:rRNA from 1 species
UACAGAGGGUGCGAGCGUUUGUCCGGAAUCACUGGGCGUAAAGGGCGCGUAGGUGGUGGCUUAAGCGUGCGGUGAAAGCUCGGGGCUCAACUCCGAGUCGGCCGUGCGAACUGGGCUCACUGGAGCAUAGUAGAGGCAGGUGGAAUUCCGGGUGUAGCGGUGGAAUGCGUAGAGAUCCGGAAGAACACCGGUGGCGAAGGCGGCCUGCUGGGCUAUGGCUGACACUGAGGCGCGGACAGCGUGGGGAGCAAACAGG